UUGUUUUUUUCUCUAUUCCAGCGACACGCGGACCCCGCACGUGUCUCCUUCCUCCUCCCGAUCGGUCUCCUAUUCUGGGACGACAGCGCCGCCACGACAGGGACCACGCUCGAUGCGCCCGAUCCCGAACCCCGUCGCUCCAAUCUGUGGCCGCAGGAAGACUCCUCUCGCUCCCCUUGUUCGAUUAACGUGCAAAUCCCUCGAGGUAGAACUCGAUUUCGAGCACAUGGAGCACCCAGAUCUUCGCUGCCCGAGCUCCCUUCUUCGGUCAAUUCCGGCCAGUAUCCUCUGAUUCGAGCCCCAGCCAAACUGACCUCGCCGGAGAUCCGCUCCUGAAGCUUCUGCCGCCGUUGAUUUCAUCAUAUACAGAGAGCACCAGAUCGAGUUCCUCGACCUCGCCCCAAAGCUCACCGACGACCACCACCCAUCUUCAGUCGUUCAUUGUCAUCGCUGGGGGUCGUCCACGAAACCUUUGAGGCCAUCCUCGAACUCUCCGUGAAGCACCUCCCCUCGUCUCAUGCUACACAGAGGCCGGAUACCACUGCAUCAAGCGCAAGGACAACUUCCCGAGCGCCGCCGCUGACUCGUUCGCUUCCGAUUGCUCGGAGCAUGACGGGUAGAAUUAUCAGGAAUUGUGAGUGCGACGAACUUCAUCAAACAUACAUGCAAGUAACACCUUGAUCAUCCUUCAUCCCAUUAUAUAUAUAUAUAUAUAUAUAUAUAUAUAUAUAUAUAUAUAUAUAUCACAUUACUAUAUUAUGCAUAUGUAGGAAGAUCAUGGUAGUAUGUUAUUGCUACUGAGUUUCAGCUUAGUAUGCGAAAACUCAUUUCUGAGCCCGAGCUCAAAUGGUCCUGUUAUCACGUGCAUUCAUUCAUUUCGAGAUCUGUGAAGUGUCUUGUAUUCCGUCUGUAUACUUUAUGCGUAUUGGGUGAAAUCUGAUCCGGGCCCAUGCAUUUAAUACAUAUGGGUAACAUUGCAGCCGUCCCAGUCCAGAACAACGCGAGACGGCCCCUCUUUGUUUCUGGGCCUUGCUGGACCGCCUCUCCAGUCUUCCCCAUCUAGGGUUCCUUCGAUUCCCUUCUUGGUUCGCCGCAGGUUCCUUCAAAUCGACUGAAGUGUCGGCAUUAGGAGCAACAGCUCAUCUUCUCCGCCAGUCAUUUAGCCAAGCUUGCAGAAUAUUUGGAAAGAGACGGUUUCAGAUCUGUCCAGGUCUCCAGGAAGCACUGCAGGCCCUUGAAGGCCUGAAUCCCACAGAGAUCAUCUGAUCUCCUCGCGACGCUAGCAGAUUUUCCCAUGCAACGAUAAUGCUUUUGCCUUACUCGGAUGCAAGUCGAAACUAUUUCGAAGGCAAGGGAUUAAUCAUACAACGCUCAUGUGUAUGCAUGGAAUGAAGAAAUUUUUGUUAACCUAUGUGUAAAUUUCCAGGCUACCCUGUGAAACAAGGUGGAGAACGUAGGAUGUACUAUCUCAAGCUGCAUUCUGCCUCUUCUUUCUGUCUGUCUCCCUAGCAGUAUGCAGAAACCACGGGCUUGGAUAUUAAGCUGAAGAAUGAAUCAUUGGUCGCAACUUAACUAGUACAAUCCGUUGCAGUUAAAACCCUGGUGUUCUUCAUGUAAGAUGUAGCUUUGUUUGGUAAACUUCUGAAUUCCUGAAAGAGCAUAUUGUGUUCUA